GUGAAAAAUGUUGUCGUUGAUGGCAGUGUAGUGGUCAACAACUCUGGCGUAUUGAAUCCGACUAUCGAUGUUAUUGUGAUGCGCUCAGUGGGUGCAAUGGUUGUCUCUGCUAUCACGUUAUCGACGGACGCGGCGAAUGUCUCCCCCGGGCGGUUUUCCAGGGCAGCUGUGACCCCUUCCGUCGUGGUAGUCAGAAGCUGGUUUUCCGGUUUCGUAUGGGUAUCCCAACCGGAAAUGACGUCAACAAUACCCAAGUUGACCGGCUUAUGCGUUACCGGCAACGUGGUCAUUUUAAUACUGACGGGAAUCAGUGAGGGAGUUUCUGUGGUUUCCAGCGAGCCUGUUGUCGUGGUCGUACUACUUGAAAAUAUGAUCGCGGUGGUGGUGGGGCUUUAGCGUAUACGGGACGAAAGAGCGGAUUGGAAUAGUCACCCAAUUCCGUGACCGGAAGUAGCACAAAGGGCGUAGUCGUGUGAGUUGUGCGCCUCGCCGCAGUGGUGGAUGGAGUUGUGCUGGUAUCGCGAAGGAAAGCGAUGCUUUCUUUGAAAAAGAAUGGAAGGGAUAUCCAUUGGCCGUUUUUGUGAAAGAGGUCUACUGUUAAAUCUUCAUUGGAUGCCGGUUCCUUAAAAAUAGAGUACGGUGCAUAGAUGCUGUUGUCUUCGAUAUCUUCAUCGAAACUUCGAGAUUCGAGGUCGUGACCAAGGUGGAAGCCAACAUGCGAACUGCUCCACUCAUCCGAGCGUGCAUCUAAGGAGGAAAGGAAACCGAUGGGAAAUAAACACUGAUACAGGAACGUAACGGGAUAAUUUUAUUAAAUUAAAAACACCGGCUGGGGACUCGAUUAUAAGUUGCUGUUUAUUAGAUCAGGUGACGACCGCCUUCGAAAGUUUGGCCGUCUUGUUAGAAUAAACUGCACAGCGCACACAACUUCAUGAAUUACGUUUAAGCUGCUUCCGUAACGUCCUGACAUUUCGAGCAAACUUUAUUGUGUGUGAGGAAUUAGAUUCUAACAAUGCUUUGCAAGAUUUUCAGUACUGCUCCAUAAAUACGCCAAGGUCAAAGUCGAUGUACUGCACUUCCGGUGGAACUCUGAUCAUUCUACAGAUGAUUUUGUGUACGAGUACAGAUCUGAGGACAUUUUACGUGGAGAAGAGCUCUAUCGCACGGGUAAAAAAGCUUGCAUUAAAAUAGUUAUCACAGGUUCCACUCUGUGAUGGAAACGAAUCCUCGGACUCAGGGAAUAUUACGAAUAGUGUAUUAUGUG